rnacentral:rRNA from 1 species
GUUGUUGGGUAGGGGAGCGUUCUGUAAGCCUGUGAAGGUGUGUCGUGAGGCAUGCUGGAGGUAUCAGAAGUGCGAAUGCUGACAUAAGUAACGAUAAAGCGGGUGAAAAGCCCGCUCGCCGGAAGACCAAGGGUUCCUGUCCAACGUUAAUCGGGGCAGGGUGAGUCGACCCCUAAGGCGAGGCCGAAAGGCGUAGUCGAUGGGAAACGGGUUAAUAUUCCCGUACUUGGUGUUACUGCGAAGGGGGGACGGAGAAGGCUAUGUUGGCCGGGCGACGGUUGUCCCGGUUUAAGCGUGUAGGUGUGUGUUCCAGGUAAAUCCGGUUCACUUUAACACUGAGGCGUGACGACGAGGCACUACGGUGCUGAAGCAACAAAUGCCCUGCUUCCAGGAAAAGCCUCUAAGCAUCAGGUAACAUCAAAUCGUACCCCAAACCGACACAGGUGGUCAGGUAGAGAAUACCAAGGCGCUUGAGAGAACUCGGGUGAAGGAACUAGGCAAAAUGGUGCCGUAACUUCGGGAGAAGGCACGCUGACACGUAGGUGAAGUGAUUUACUCAUGGAGCUGAAGUCAGUCGAAGAUACCAGCUGGCUGCAACUGUUUAUUAAAAACACAGCACUGUGCAAACACGAAAGUGGACGUAUACGGUGUGACGCCUGCCCGGUGCCGGAAGGUUAAUUGAUGGGGUCAGCGCAAGCGAAGCUCCUGAUCGAAGCCCCGGUAAACGGCGGCCGUAACUAUAACGGUCCUAAGGUAGCGAAAUUCCUUGUCGGGUAAGUUCCGACCUGCACGAAUGGCGUAAUGAUGGCCAGGCUGUCUCCACCCGAGACUCAGUGAAAUUGAACUCGCUGUGAAGAUGCAGUGUACCCGCGGCAAGACGGAAAGACCCCGUGAACCUUUACUAUAGCUUGACACUGAACAUUGAGCCUUGAUGUGUAG